UACGGAGGGAGCAAGCGUUGUUCGGAUUUACUGGGCGUAAAGGGCGCGUAGGCGGCCUGCUAAGUCGGACGUGAAAUCCCUCGGCUCAACCGGGGAACUGCGUCCGAUACUGGUGGGCUCGAAUCCGGGAGAGGGAUGUGGAAUUCCAGGUGUAGCGGUGAAAUGCGUAGAUAUCGAGAGGAACACCUGCGGCGAAGGCGGGUAGCUGGGCCGACACUGACGCUGAUGCGCGAAAGCCAGGGGAGCGAACGGG
rnacentral:rRNA from 1 species